rnacentral:lncRNA from 1 species
CAUUCUACCUUUUCCUACAAUGAAUCCACCAGCAGAAAUUCCUGUACACAUCUUAUCAACAAAGAAUUUGAACCUCAAAGAGUGGCUCAAAGAGGUCAGGAGGCACCUUCAACACUUUUAUUGGAGAUCUCCUUGUCUAGAUCAUCAGAUUCUCACUGUGUUACCUAGGCUGCAGUGCAGUGGUGCGAUCUCAACUCACUGCAACCUCUACCUCCUGGGUUCAAGCAAUUCUCCUGCCUCAGCCUCCCAAGUAGCUGGGAUUACAGGUGAGUGCCACCACGCCUGGCUAAUUUUUGUAUUUUUAGUAGAAACAGGUUUCUCCAUGUUGGCUAGGCUGGUCUCAAACUCCUUACCUCAGGUGAUCCACCUUGCCUCAGCCUCCCAAAGUGCUGCAGUUACAGGUGUAAGCCACUGCCUGGCCUAAGAUAUUUAUUUUAAAUUGUAUUUAUGGUUAGAAAAAAUAUUCAUUUAUAGUGAUGUAAAUUAUCUGAUUGAUUAAA